AGCCGCCUCUGAGUCCUUCGACAGAGGCAGAUGGAGGUGAGGGGGUUUACCCCGCGCCCAGCAGCUACCUAGUUCCUGUAGCACAUAGUGAGUGGAGCGCGGAACAGAACCGGUGCAGCUUUACAAAUGGGGGCAACUGAUUUGAAGGCAAUUCAAGGCACACCAGGAUCCAGGAACCCGGUCCACAUACGACAGACAGCCUCGCUUCUCAGGAUCGCUGGUCCCUCCAUCCCAAACCGGCACGACUGCGAUCCUGCUUGAUUAAAAAGCCAUUGGAUCUUGUUCUGCUUCACGCAUGGGAAUAAGUCUACCAGAAAAUCUGCUUCCUAACACUCUUCUAUCGUGAUAUUUUACGGGACCUUUGCAAUAUUCUGCCAGCUAUACUGAUCUCUGUUGCAGGAGGCAUGUUUGCUCAAUAGCAGAGCUCACUGAAAGGUAAUCACUUCACCCUGGGACCCUACCCACCUGCCCCACCCCCAACAGAUCUGUUCUUUUCCACCUGCAACAAAUCUGCUUUCUUGUUUACGGGUGGCUCCGUCUUCCAUUCAAUAUUGUCAUUUGGGUCUCUGGUGGGGCUACCCGCCUCUGACCUUUCCCGAGGCUUCCUUUCCCAAGCACAGUCUUCUCCUCACCUUCUGGCUUUUCUUGAAGUCCUGGGACCAGGUGACCGUGUGUCUCUCAGGCUCAGAGCCCUUGGUCCCCACCCUUUGUGUGCCUAUCUCGAAACUGACCCUCUCUGAAUUCCUGGAACACUGAGAAUUGCAGACCUUUGGGUCUUCUGAUACCUCCUUGCUCCCAUUGGGAUGUUUUUGGAGACCCACUGACCAUUCCUAAUCAGCUAGUGUUGCAGGACUACCAGCUGCUGGCCAAAGAGCUGGAGGUGCAAGGACCAUCAAACAUGUCCAGGUGAUGUGUGGUGAUGGGAAAGGAUCAGGUGCUUUGAGCCCUCGGGAGUUGAUUUGGAUCCACGUUGGACAGCAUUUUGCCAGAUCCAAGCAGCACCUGACAGUUCCACAGAGCAUGAACAGUGAAGUGAAAACAGUUAGCUACUCCAGGAUGUGGCCAGCACCCCAGCAUUCCCAGGUCCCCCAAAGAUGAAAAACGCCCAAGUCAGCAGGAAGUAGUCCUGAGAACAUGGCGUCCUCAUCCCUGCCUUACCUGCUACCCCUUUCUAACUCCUCACCUUUUAAAAAUAAAUGAAAAGGGAAGCAUGCUAGUAUUCAAGCCUCUAUGCAGCAGCCCCACCAGAGACCAAACUGACAAUUUUGAAUGGAAGGCAAAGCUACCAGUGAAGGAGAGAGCAGGUCUGUUGAGGGUGGAGCAGGUGGAUAGGGUCAGGGAGCUCUGCUACACUUGGGAUGUGCGUCCUCAGCUGCAGCCACUAAGAGCACCAACUGUGCACAAUCACUAUGGUCCCUUUUAAGAGCCAUAUCCACCUCCCAUCCCUCCAUCUGUCUCCAUCUGCCUGUCCAUCUGACCCCUUUCUCUUCUGUCCCCAGAGGCCAGUAUCCCCUCUUCCUUCCCCCAUUUUCCCAUUCACUUUCUCCCAAUAAAAUCCUCUCCACCUGAGCUCCACUGAGCUCCAGUGCAUGGUGUCUUUCUCAUGCCACUUUUUCUAAAUUACAACAUCCAUUUCCACUCCCUCCCCUCCUCCAGCUUCACCCUUCCUCCCUAGCCCCCCAUUCUCUCCUCAGAAAGGGUAAGGCUUCCCAAGGGGAAUCACCGAAGUCUGACACUUCUCUUUGAGGCAAGACCAAUGCCCUCCCUCCUAUAUCUAGGCUGAACAAGGUAUUCCUCCAAAGAGAAUGUGCCAAUUCAAGCAGUAGGGAUUAAUUCUGGUCCCGCUGCCAGGGGCCCCCCAGUCUGCCCAAGCCUCACAACUGUCCCCCACAUUCAGUGGUCCUAUGCAGGUUCCCCCACUAUCAGUCCAGAGUCAGUGAGCUCUCACUAGCUCAGACGAAAAGCCUCAAAAAUCACUCAAGAACAACAAAAGCCCCCCCCAAAUCUCUCAAGGGAGAAAUAACCUGCAGAGGAAAUUAUGUGUUCACACAGGUAUUAUUUAUAAGAUGGAAUGCCACCUAGAAAAGCCUUGGCAGAUGUGUGCAUAUGUGUGCUUGUGUAAAAUAUCUCUUAUAUGGGAGUAGUGACGUACAACUUUAACUCCAGUACUUGGGAGGCAGAGGCAGGCUAAUCUCUCAGUUGGAGGCCAGCCUGGUCUACAGAGAGAGUUCCAGGACAGUCGGGGCUACACAAAAAACAAAACAAUCACCUCCCCGCCAAAACCCAAACCAAGCAACCAACCAAAACAAAACAAAAAAUAAAUCACCUUAUUAAGAUGAACAGCUGUAAAAUGCCUGUUGGAAUACCUACUAAGUCAUGAGGUGAAUAUAUCUGGGAAAAGAAAACCCUUUUAUUUUAGCUGAGGAGUUACUGGCAAGUGAUGGUUGUGGGGGAUGGGUAGCAAUUUUCAUCAGGGGUGUGGCUGCUGGUAGGCUGCCCUUGUGACACAGGCAGCAGUGAUUGGAUUUGAUGGGCUGCAAGAAAAAUUUACAAAGAUGUCAAGGUGCGAGGGUUACCUGGGAGGGGUCUGGGAGAGUGGGGGGAAUUAGGAGUGGGUAGGAUCAAGAUAUACUGUAUAUAUGUAAGAAACUAUCUAAGAGUAACUAUUUAAAAAUAAACUUUUUAAAAGAAAAAAGAAUACUCAAUAAGCUAUUAACAAUGGUUCACAGGAAAGUGGGUUAUGAGUGGGCACUUAUCAUGUUCAAUACUCCUGGGCUUUAAAAAGUAUUUUUAUUUUUGUAAAUGUGUGUGCCUGUGAGUAUGCACAUGUGUA